rnacentral:rRNA from 1 species
UACGUAGGGGGCAAGCGUUAUCCGGAUUUACUGGGUGUAGAGGGAGCGUAGACGGUAAUGUAAGUCUGAUGUGAAAGCCCGGGGCUCAACCCUGGGACUGCAUUGGAAACUAUGUAACUAGAGUACCGGAGAGGUAAGCGGAAUUCCUAGUGUAGCGGUGAAAUGCGUAGAUAUUAGGAGGAACACCAGUGGCGAAGGCGGCUUACUGGACGGAAACUGACGUUGAGGCUCGAAAGCGUGGGGAGCAAACAGG